rnacentral:rRNA from 1 species
CAGCAGCCACGGUAAUACGUAGGUGGCAAGCGUUGUCCGGAAUUAUUGGGCGUAAAGGGCUCGCAGGCGGUUUCUUAAGUCUGAUGUGAAAGCCCCCGGCUCAACCGGGGAGGGUCAUUGGAAACUGGGAAACUUGAGUGCAGAAGAGGAGAGUGGAAUUCCACGUGUAGCGGUGAAAUGCGUAGAGAUGUGGAGGAACACCAGUGGCGAAGGCGACUCUCUGGUCUGUAACUGACGCUGAGGAGCGAAAGCGUGGGGAGCGAACAGGAUUAGAUACCCGUGUAGUCCCUGUCUCUUAUAA